AGUUCUCUGUAGUGUUUGCCAAUGUUGGAGCCGUCUGCAAAGUGUCCCCGGCAAGAAGAGGCUGCCUACCACAAGGAAUUUAGCUUACUUUUUAAAGAUUGAAGAAAAAAAAGAAGACAGAAAAAGAAGAACUCAAAGAUACACAAAGUAAUUUGAACCAAGGCUCAGAAGUUUUUGGAGCCGUGAGGGAUACAGCAGUUUGGUCAAUAUUGUCUUAACAUGCUUCAAAUAAAUCAGAUGUUCUCAGUGCAGCUGAGUCUUGGUGAGCAGACAUGGGAAUCCGAAGGCAGCAGUAUAAAGAAGGCUCAACAGGCUGUUGCCAGUAAAGCUUUGACUGAAUCUACGCUUCCCAAACCAGUUCAGAAGCCACCCAAAAGUAAUGUUAACAAUAACCCAGGCAGUAUAACUCCAACUGUGGAACUGAAUGGGCUUGCUAUGAAAAGGGGAGAGCCUGCCAUCUACAGGCCAUUAGAUCCAAAGCCAUUCCCAAAUUAUAGAGCUAAUUACAACUUUCGGGGCAUGUACAAUCAGAGGUUUGUAUGUCUUUUUUGGUUUUGUUCUUAAUUAUUAUUUUAUCCAUGUUGUAAAAGUUUCUCACACUCUAAAGAGUAUUUUCAUUGUAAAUCUAAUUGACCUUGGGCAUUUUGCAUGGAAUUUA
rnacentral:sRNA from 1 species